GUUGAAACUGAGAGAGGAACACGAUUAGCAUCUGCUGGAAAAGAUCAACGUGAAUCUUUACUUGCUGUUGAAGAUUAUCAAGCUAAAAAACUUGUUUGUACAACACCUAAGAAAAGAACUUUAAAUUCUCCAAUAGAAACUCCUACAAAGAAAAGUAAAAUAAUUUCGAUAAAUGAGUUACCUCCACUUCCAAUCGAAUCAUCAUCAGCACUGAUAACCGAACCAAU